GCUGGUGCCGGCGACGUCGCGCUCUGAGGGGACCUCGGCGGCGUCGGCCCGGCAUGGGCGGCCCGCACUCCUCUCCGGCGUCCCUUCGCUGAGCAGCCGCGCCCGGCCAUGGCCGGUCCUUCCCGAGACGUGCUGGGCACCGACGUCUUCGACGAGGCCGUGCGGAGCACCUGCGACGUCGCCUCCCAUUGCAAGCGGUAUGCUGUAAGUGUUGGCUACUGGAAAGACCCUUACAUUGAACAUUUUGUAAGCCAUCCAAAAGAAAGGAAGGCACCUGAAAUCAGCCGUGGGUAUUAUGCCCGGGUCCAAGGAGUUGGUCGUUUACUUAAGGCUUUCUUAGAAAAGACAAAAUGCAAUUGCCAAAUUAUAAAUCUUGGUGCCGGCAUGGAUACUCUGUUUUGGAAAUUAAAGGAUGAGAAUCUUCUUCCUUUGAAAUACUUUGAAGUUGAUUUUCCAUCUAUAGUAUCAAGAAAAAUUCACUACAUCAAAUCAAAACCUCCUCUCUCCAAACCGAUCAUGGAAAGCCAUUCAGAGGAGACUGUUCUCAUAGAUGCACAUAGUUUGGAUACCAGCCGAUAUGCCAUUGUUGGAGGUGAUCUUCGAGACCUGCCCAAAAUGGAAGAACAGCUGAAGAAAUGCCACAUGGAUCCAGAUUUGCCAACGCUCCUGAUGACGGAAUGUGUGCUCAUCUACAUGACCACGGAGCAUUCGGGUGACCUUAUCAAGUGGGUGGCAAACACAUUUCGGUCUGCCAUGUUUAUCAACUAUGAGCAGGUGAAUAUGUUGGAUCGCUUUGGACAGAUCAUGAUUGAGAACUUGCAGAACAAGCAGUGCGAGCUGGUUGGUGCAGACGCUUGCAGAUCUCUGGAGACCCAGAAGGAACGGUUCCUGAAACAUGGCUGGGAAACAGUAAAUGGUCUUGAUAUGCUGAAAGUCUAUCAGAGUUUGCCAUCAGAUGAGAUCAAAAGGAAUGUGCAGAACUCACUGAUAACUUCAGGAAACUGCCCCCGGAACAACAAGGUCUGGAGGGGGAAUGGAACAUUCCAGGGUUCAACGGAACGUUCUGUUCCUGAAUUGGGUAGAGGCACUUGAGUUUCUGGACGAGAAGGAACCAUUUGAGCAGCUCAUGCAACAUUACUGCCUGUGCUGGGCUAUCAAGGAUUCCCAGAAUUUAGGCCUUGCAGACAUUACUCUGUGAUGCAUUUGCUCCAGUGGAGUUCCAGGUGAACCUGCUGCCCCUCUCCCGGUGGGCCUCUGCAUGCAUCCACUGCCCCCCUGCUCCCGUGAAGAUGCUCGCAGGUGAACAUGAGCCUUGGAGCCGUGGCAGGCACCCUCCUCUCCCCCAUUCGUGGCACGUGACAACCUUUUGAAUAAAUUACUCCUUUUGUGAGCAGCUGAAAAACAAGCGAGUCUCUCUCUUUUGUAGGGAUUUUUUCUUAAAAAAACCUAUUAUGAAUCGAAAGGGAUUCUGAUUUCUCCUAGAUGUCCAAGAGUCCUUGUCCUGCUGGCUGUCUCAGAACUGGGCUGAGGGUUUCAACUGGGGCAGGGAAGGGGGCCCUGUUGGCUGUCAGCAGUCCUUAGAGGCCCUCCUCUCUGGCCUCUUGCAUUUUCCUUCCUUUCUGAAAUAUUGUUUCCGGUGCAUUUUCUUUCUCUUCUGCCUUGAGUUUCUUGGUGUCUUCUCUUCCUUCUUUUUCCUCAAAAGAGAGCUGGCUUCAGUCUGGGAGCGGGGUGGGGGGUGGGGGAAAUCCUGUUGGCUCUGAGCUGCAGUUUCUGGUGGCUGUAUUGAGAUGCACUCCUGAUCCUGACAAGGUUAAUAAAUCGUGAAGUUUUGUAAA